rnacentral:rRNA from 1 species
UGGGGAAUAUUGCACAAUGGGCGCAAGCCUGAUGCAGCCAUGCCGCGUGUAUGAAGAAGGCCUUCGGGUUGUAAAGUACUUUCAGCGGGGAGGAAGGCGUGAGGUUAAUACCCUCGUCGAUUGACGUUACCCGCAGAAGAAGCACCGGCUAACUCCGU